AACCUCCGCAAUGUGAGAAAUCGCGACGGGGGGAUCCCAAGUGCCAUUCUUAACGGGAUGGCUUUUCAUUAGUGUAAAGAGCUUUUGGAAUAAGGGCUGGGCAAGACCGGUGCCAGCCGCCGCGGUAACACCGGCAGCUCUAGUGGUAGCUGUUUUUAUUGGGCCUAAAGCGUUCGUAGCCGGUUUGAUAAGUCACUGGUGAAAUCCUGUAGCUUAACUGUGGGAAUUGCUGGUGAUACUGUUGAACUUGAGGUCGGGAGAGGUUAGCGGUACUCCCAGGGUAGAGGUGAAAUUCUGUAAUCCUGGGAGGACCACCUGUGGCGAAGGCGGCUAACUGGAACGAACCUGACGGUGAGGGACGAAAGCUAGGGGCGCGAACCGGAUUAGAUACCCGGGUAGUCCUAGCCGUAAACGAUGCGGACUUGGUGUUGGGAUGGCUUUGAGCCGCUCCGGUGCCGAAGGGAAGCUGUUAAGUCCGCCGCCUGGGAAGUACGGUCGCAAGACUGAAACUUAAAGGAAUU
rnacentral:rRNA from 1 species